GGUUGAUCUUCAGCUCUCUAUUCCAAUCUCUUGAAAUCGUUGGACCAUUUCCUGCAUACUACUUCUUCAAUGGACUUCUCAUCACUCUUCAGAUUCUCAAUAGUUAUUGGUUCUUCCUCAUCUCAUGUAUGGUCUACAGAGCUAUUACCAAUGGCCAGGUUACCAAGGAUGCCAGGAGUGAUGUAGAGGAGAGUAGUUCAGAAGAUGAGUUGAUCAAUGAGAAGAAUGGUCAAAUGAAUCACAAUCAUAACUUCCCUAAUCAUGUCAAUUCCAACUACAAAGCAGUAGCCAAUCACCAUUGAGCAUCAUUUGAAUUCAUUCAAGCAGGAUGAAGCAUCGGGCAAUCUCAGUUUACUACACUUCGAUGGUAACUUUUUUUAUAUUUCAUAAUUGAUACAGAACCUUGCAGGAAAUCACCUUCCAUUAUCAUUUCAUUUUUUAUUCAACCAAUAUUCCAAGCCUACAUGAUGUUUGAACAGUGGUUAUAAGCUUUGUUAAGUUGAAAUGAAAUAGGUUGAUAUUUUUUACCAUUUUAUGCAUUCUGUAUAUUGGAUGAUUUAUGUAUUCUCCCUCAAGUUUUCUUCUGUCUUUCUACCAGUAUGAUAUCUUUUAUGUUUAAUGUCAAACAGAAUCUAGGUUGUUAAAUGGCUGUCUACAUGAUGCAGGUUGUGCACUGUUGAAAGACAGCUUUUUAUUAAUAGGUUCCAGAACGGCAUGCUUUGAUGUAAGGUAAUUUGAGAUUGAAAGAUUCUUGAAAGUUAAAAGCCAUUCAACACCAAUAUGUGUGAUACCAGUCUAUGAGAUUCACCCUAACUCACCCCCCCCCCCCCUCGAAACCUUAUAAUGCUCUGUUACUAUUACCGGGAAUACGUUACACUGUUAAACAGUAUGAUAAUGGUAAAGUAACAUCUUUGAUAGUAUCUGAGGUUGGCAUUUUUUAUACCAGAUAUUUUAACUCUCCGGUGCUUUAAAAGGAUUUUGUUCCACUAUCAGAUGUUAAUCAUUAUGAAAAGAGUCUGUCUUAUCUGUAAAGGAAACUGGGAUGAAAUAAACAUUCUUUACAAAGAUUCUUAGGGGGGUGGUGUGAAAGUUAGAGUUAAUUAAGAUUAAUUGUUAUGUACUAGAAAGAUCAUUUUUGUAAGCAGAUGAUUAGAAUCUCCUGUAACUCGGGUUCCAGGAAAGCUUUGAGAGAAUAGCUAUUACUAGCCUUUAGACAAGGCCCUGUGUCUGACAUCAUGUGUAUAACAAAACUUGAGCAAGUAGUAAAAAGAGACUUAACUAGGCUUGAGUCCGCUAGUUGAGUAGCCAAUUAGCGAGCAUAUUGUUCGCAUCAAUGAGCUCCUUAAUACAGGAGUGAGCACAUACUGGUUCCAUGAUGUCAUUCAUUGACAGUACGGAUUGGUACAUUGGCCUGAUGACUCAUUAACCUGGUUCUCACCACUAAUCUUGAUUCAGCCGUUACUUGACUAAGACCAUGUCACAAGGCCUUGUCAAAAGGCAAGGGUAUUGCAGUACACCGUUUUUCCUCUGAAUGAAAACCCAACAUUGUCUAUACCAUUAUCUGUUGAUUGAUUGAUUGCUUUUAUUUCUUUGUCCAAUGCACCAGAUAUAAGUUUACAAGGUAAUGUGUACAAAUGUAAAAUAUAACAAAUUAAUAAUAUAGUUGUAGUAUCAGCAUUGGAUUAAUAAUAUUAAAAACAAGUAUUACUCAUUAAACAAAAUGACAACUUUAAUAAAAGAAUGCAGGCCACAUUGGGAGUGAUUAAACUUGAUAAUGGUGGCCUCAUGAAAAGGUACAUGUAUUUCUUUCUUGAUUUGUAACAUCCUAUUCCAGGAGUAAAAUCUUUAAAUCAGGUGAAAAAGAAAAAUAAUAAAACCAGCAAAUAUUUAUUCAGGAACUGCUCCAUUACUUAUAGACCAAUUACUUUCACAUCAUGUUAUACUUUCUGACCCUUUCCUUGCUAUUUACUGAGUUGAAGCCUUACAGAGAGAUCUCCUUUACACCAAUUGAUAGUAUAGAGAUAUUCUGAUUCUUGGUCUCUUAAAUUUUGUCAUAAUGCUACAUGAUUUCUAUGUUUAAUUGAAUUCAUUCAUUUAUUUGAAAAGGUUUUAUUGUUUGAUCAGAUAUAACAGCUCCAUUACUGCAUUUGAUUUUAAUACAUUCAAGUGCCAAAAUACAAUGUCAUAUGACAUACGAUUCAGCAGCUGCUUGGAAUACAUUAUUAUUAUCACAUGUUGACAGAAUUAGCCAUACCUAUUUACUUUAUACUAAACCAGUCAUCUAAUACCAUAUUGCAGAUCACACCCAGGUGAAAUUCAUAACCCCCCCCCCCCCCCCACCAACCUCACUCCAGAUAGUGGUUAUGAAUAUUUUGACAUCAAAGUGCCUAUAAGUAAUAUUUUUUAUGAAAGCUGCAUUCAUGGUAAUAUUUGGAGAAAAACAUCUCGCUUUGAAUUGAACAAGAUUAUUUAUCUACAUGUACUUUAUCUGAAAUGUUAUUAAUCUGUACUUCUAUCAUCUGAAAUAAUUUCUUCUUUUUCCAAUGAUUCAAAAAGUCUUUCUAUACGAUGAUUGUUUGAAUAAAGGUUUUUCUAAUGCCAAAGAAUGUUUCACAGGAUAUGUGAAAAAAAAUAAUUCUAUGUAAAAAGAAAAUUAAAGAAUAUUGGAUGGAUGAUCAACAGAACGUUGAUGUAAGGGAUAUUUAGAGCAGAACUUCUUGAAUUUCUUUAUUUCAUCUCACAUACUCUCUUUGCUUAUGUGUGUAUAUAUAUCUGGAUUUAACAGAUCAAUAAUCUUGACAGUAUUUUGAGGUUGGAAAUUUAUUUUGUUUUUUGAGCUAUGUUGCCUCAUAUCUACCUUGGUUUUUCAUUUGUAUGUUUAUUAUUAGUAUAGUGUUGAGACUUUAUGGAAAAUCAGAGAAAAAUUGUAAGUUCUCAUGCAGAUUAUGCUUUGCAAACACUGCAGUUAUUUCACCUGUGCACAUUUUUUUUUUUUUUUGCCUGAAAAGAGUUUCAUAAAAUUCUGUGCAUUCUGGGAUUCUGUUUUUUCAUAUCACAGGAAUUUGUUGACUCAAGUGAUAUGAUUUGAAUCAUCUAAUGUGAAGAACAUGAAAUUAUUUUUAGUUUGAUGUAUAGGGUGUUAUAUUGCAAUGAGUAUGUAAUUAAUUCAUUUUGUUACAUGCUUACAUUUUGAUUUUUUCUUUCAUUUAUCCAGAUAUUAUGGUUGUUUAAAAAUCAAGAUUGCAGUGUAUUUAUUGCAUUAAAAAAAAGAUAGUUAGAUAUACAUAUAUGUAUUCUACAUAGGCUCUUUGUACGUGUACUUCAUUUUCAGUUAAAAACGACUUAUAAUAAUACCAUUUGUGCUUUUUUCUUAAAGACUAAAAUACCAAAUAUUUUGUAAAAGCAUGACUUCUUCACAAUUCUGUCAUGUCAAAAAUGUCUUUAUUCCAAGUGCUAUUGAUGUGUAUUAUGCCCAGGUUCUGUUUCUUAUUUCAAGACCAGUUUUUUAUACUAUUUUAAUUCCAAUAUUAAUGCAGUAUGGCAUAUGAUAUUAAUGCCUCCGCCCACCUUAGGUUGUUCAGUCCGUCCCAUUUUUGUCUCACCUGCAUAGCAGAGUGAGACUAUAGGCGACGCUUUUCUGACGGCGGCGGCCUCAACACCAAAUCUUAACCGAAGGUUGAGUUUUUGAAAUGAUAGCAUAACUGGUUGAAAGUUUAUGGAUCUGAUUCAUGAAACUUGGACAUAAGAGUAAUCAAGUAUCACUGAACAUCCUGGGUGAGUUUCAGGUCACAUGAUAAAGAUCAAAGGUCAUUUAAGGUCAAUAAACUUUGGCCAAGUUGUGGGUAUUUGUUGAAUUACGAUCAUAACUUUGAAAGGUUAUUGGUCUGGUUCAUAAAACUUGGACAUAAGAGUAAUCAAGUAUCACUUAAUAUCCUGUGCGAAUUUCAGGUCACAUGGCCAUAGUCAAAGGUCAAUGAACUUUAGCCAUUUUGGAGGUAAUUAUUAGAUUGCUGUCAUAACUUUCAAAGUUUAUAGAUAUACAUGUAGUUUAUAAAAUGCGGAUAUAGGGGUAAUCAAGUAUCACUGAUCAGUCUUAGGUCGCUCCCCUCGUUUGUUCUUGUGAUAAGAACCGUUAAACAGAUAAACUUCUUAUUUGGAUCAUGAGAGUUACAAUGAUUUCAUUAGUUUUCUAGGUGUGGAUGUCAGAGGAUAAAGGUUAUUAAAUUAAUUCUCAUGAUAAAUAUAGACCUGUUGGUCUAGUGGUAGUUACCAAUUUGCUUGAAGCAAAUCAACGAAAGUUACAUUGUAGAAUUCAAACUAAACACAAAGACUUAUCUUUGGCAACAAAGCAUUUUUG